UACGUAGGGUGCAAGCGUUGUCCGGAAUUAUUGGGCGUAAAGAGCUCGUAGGCGGUCUGUUGCGUCGGCUGUGAAAACCCGGGGCUCAACUCCGGGCCUGCAGCCGAUACGGGCAGACUAGAGUUCGGCAGGGGAGACUGGAAUUCCUGGUGUAGCGGUGAAAUGCGCAGAUAUCAGGAGGAACACCGGUGGCGAAGGCGGGUCUCUGGGCCGAUACUGACGCUGA
rnacentral:rRNA from 1 species